rnacentral:rRNA from 1 species
CCUACGGGAGGCAGCAGUGGGGAAUCUUGGACAAUGGGGGCAACCCUGAUCCAGCCAUGCCGCGUGAGUGGAGAAGGCCCUAGGGUCGUAAAACUCUUUCGCCUGUGAUGAUAAUGACAGUAGCAGGUAAAGAAACCCCGGCUAACUCCGUGCCAGCAGCCGCGGUAAUACGGAGGGGGUUAGCGUUGUUCGGAAUUACUGGGCGUAAAGCGCACGUAGGCGGAUUAGAAAGUUAGAGGUGAAAUCCCGGGGCUCAACCCCGGAACUGCCUUUAAAACUACUAGUCUAGAGUUCGAGAGAGGUGAGUGGAAUUCCGAGUGUAGAGGUGAAAUUCGUAGAUAUUCGGAGGAACACCAGUGGCGAAGGCGGCUCACUGGCUCGAUACUGACGCUGAGGUGCGAAAGUGUGGGGAGCAAACAGGAUUAGAUACCCUGGUAGUCCACACCGUAAACGAUGAAUGCCAGUCGUCGGGUAGUAUACUAUUCGGUGACACACCUAACGGAUUAAGCAUUCCGCCUGGGGAGUACGGUCGCAAGAUUAAAACUCAAAGGAAUUGACGG